CGAUUGUGACGGUAACAGCGAGCAACUCUCUGCAGACUGCUGUCUUGAACAGACUGAGGUACUACCAGAAGCCCAGGAUAACUGUAUUGACAAAAAGAGAGUUACUACUGUUGUCAGCUGACUAUACCUGAGGUGUCAGUGCAGCGUGGAGAGAAAAGCUGUCAGACUUUGAUCACUACUCAUUCCCAGUCACAACAUCUGGAAAGCAGCAGGAAGACUGCAAUUUCUUCUUGAAGAUAUUAUUUCAUAUAUUGGAAUGGAAGCAUAAUAGGAUAGCCUUAUCAACGAACAUGGAAAAAAAUGUUUUACUAUUACCAGAGAUGUCAUCA